rnacentral:rRNA from 1 species
CCGGCGCACGGGUGAGUAACACGUAUCCAACCUGCCGUCUACUCUUGGACAGCCUUCUGAAAGGAAGAUUAAUACAAGAUGGCAUCAUGAGUCCGCAUGUUCGCAUGAUUAAAGGUAUUCCGGUAGACGAUGGGGAUGCGUUCCAUUAGAUAGUAGGCGGGGUAACGGCCCACCUAGUCUUCGAUGGAUAGGGGUUCUGAGAGGAAGGUCCCCCACAUUGGAACUGAGACACGGUCCAAACUCCUACGGAAGGCAGCAG